rnacentral:rRNA from 1 species
AUGGUGAGGCAGCGUCAGACUGCAAGGAUCUCCACGAGAGGUCUCUUCCCCAGGGCGCUGGUGCCCGGCACCGGCGGCGGCUCCAACACCGGAGCGGCAGCGGGCUCCAAUUUUGGCGCGGGGGCCAACCUUGGCGCUAGCUUCUACUAUGGCGCUUCCUCGAUGGGCUCGGGCUCCUACUCCAACUACUCCGAGUUCGAGCCCGCGCCAUCUAAGCUGUCUCGUAACCAUAGGGAGCUCGAGGAGGAGGCACCGAGGAGGAGGUGGCCUUCGAGGCGAUGUAGGAGCACCUCGACAUCCACGGUGUCGAAGAUGAGGCCGAGGAAGAUGUACCGGCUCCUGCGUAAUAUAUUGCCAUGCUCACUGCCUAGGCCGAGGAGGCCCUGCGUGCGGCGUAGGAGCAACUCGACCAGGCGGUGCUAG